GACGAACGCUGGCGGCGUGCUUAACACAUGCAAGUCGAACGGAAAGGCCUCUUUCGGGGGGUACUCGAGUGGCGAACGGGUGAGUAACACGUGAGUAACCUGCCCUUGACUUUGGGAUAACUUCCGGAAACUGGGGCUAAUACCGGAUAGGAGCUCCUGCUGCAUGGUGGGGGUUGGAAAGUUUCGGCGGUUGGGUACGGACUCGCGGCUUAUCAGCUUGUUGGUGGGGUAGUGGCUUACCAAGGCUUUGACGGGUAGCCGGCCUGAGAGGGUGACCGGCCACAUUGGGACUGAGAUACGGCACAGACUCCUACGGGAGGAAGCAGUGGGGAAUAUUGCACAAUGGGUGGAAGCCUGAUGCAGCAACGCCGUGUGCGGGAUGACGGCCUUCGGGUUGUAAACCGCUUUCGCUCAUGACGAAGCUUUGUGUGACGGUAGUGGGUAAAGAAGCACCGGCUAACUACGUG
rnacentral:rRNA from 1 species